GGUUCUAUAGUGUAGCCAUUAGCAUGUCUUCUUCACACACAGAAGGUCCUGGGUUCACAUCCUAGUGGAGCCA
rfam:Pteropus alecto contig103137, whole genome shotgun sequence.